rnacentral:rRNA from 1 species
AUGCCUAAGUGGGAUAAGUCUGAGAAAGAGAUGGAGGAUGCAGGUGCCACUCCGGUUACUAAGAGCUGGCCCCCCAGGGUCAGGACUUGGUUCUAUGCGCAUGGGGGGGAGUUGGACCCGAAGACAGGCAAUGUUUCGACGAGGGCAAGUCUGAAGGGAGCCGACGAUGCGAUACUUGUUUCAAUAGAAGAGGCACGAUCGGGGGUGUUCCAGCCCAACAGAGAGAACGACGAGCUUACGUGUGCCCUGGGAAAUCCUGAACACCCGGGAAGAACACGAGGCAAGGGCGCUAUUCCGUGGUAUGAGGGGUUUUCAGACUGGAACACCGACUACAGAACCCGUGCGAGAAAGAAGAUUGCGGAGGAGAAGAAGAGGAAGAUGGAGGAGGAGCAGAGGAAGCGGGACUAUGAACGCCGUCAAGGCCUAGAAGCAAGUCAGGCGGAAUUGGUAGUCAAAUUCCAGCGGCAGCAGGAGCAGAUCGACUCACUUACCCAACAAAGGGGGUCUCAGCAGCUGCAGCAGCUAGCGAAUGAUCCAGCAUUGGAUAGCACCGCCCCAUCCAUGCUGAGAAGCAGCGUGGGUUCCGCCUCGGACGAUGCAAUGCUAGGUAGAUACCCCGUGGAUGACAUCACGGAGAACACUAGCUGCGAGCUACACGUCAAAAUGAAGAACAUAUCCAUGAAGGUGGCGGACGCCGUUGCUUUUACAAAUCCCCCCGAGGCAACCUUCCAUUGCAACCCGAUUCCAGUGGGCUAUGCUCGUGUCUUGGUUGAUGAGGUGGUGGACCCAUAUUCGGAGCUAGAGCUUGACAUUCCUGGAGGUGACGACGAGCGCUUUCUCGGAGACGCCAACCAUCGUAUCAUCCUAUGGAAAAAGGAUUGCAUCAUCUUUCGAAGGCCACCGACACCGCAUCAGCCGACUCCUCGUCGAAGUCCGCCACCGAGUCAGUAG